AUACUACGUGGCAGUGGGGAUAUGCUUCUCAUAAAGAUGAUUUUUCCAGAGCAAGGCUUAUUCAUUGCACUCCACAUAUGCUGGUUCCUGUGAUUUACCUGAAUGUGGGAACUCAACUGCACAAUAUAAGGUAGUAUGGGACUGUUUUCACACUAUCCUCUA